GCGCUUAACACAUGCAAGUCGCACGAGAAAGGGGCAACCUGAGUACAGUGGCGUACGGGUGAGUAACACGUGGGUAAUCUACCUCUUAGUGGGGAAUAACCCUGGGAAACCGGGGCUAAUACCGCAUAAGCUCGGGAGAGGAAAGCAGCAAUGCGCUGAGAGAGGAGCCCGCGGCCGAUUAGCUAGUUGGCAGGGUAAAAGCCUACCAAGGCAAAGAUCGGUAGCCGGCCUGAGAGGGCACACGGCCACACUGGCACUGAAAUACGGGCCAG
rnacentral:rRNA from 1 species